UACGUAGGCAGCGAGCGUUGUUCGGAGUUACUGGGCGUAAAGGGUGUGUAGGCGGUUCUUUAAGUUUGGGGUGAAAUCUCCCGGCUCAACCGGGAGGGUGCGCCGAAUACUGAGGGACUAGAGUGCGGGAGAGGAAAGUGGAAUUCCUGGUGUAGCGGUGAAAUGCGUAGAUAUCAGGAGGAACACCGGUGGUGUAGACGGCUUUCUGGACCGUAACUGACGCUGAGACACGAAAGCGUGGGUAGCAAACGGG
rnacentral:rRNA from 1 species